AGUAGAUAGCUAACGUUAGCUAGGUUUAUUUUGCAGACAUUUAAAUUGGCUGAUGUAGCUAGCUAGCUUUUAGAAUAACAUUUACAUUAACUCGUUUUUAAACGACACUCAAAAUGUCUAACUGUAUCGCCCUUCAGACACAACUAACCUCGAUCAUGGAGGUUUUAGCCAAAUCAGCUGUGUCAGAAAUCGCCAAACUUAUCGAUGACAACUGUGCUGUAUUACAUUUCGAAAUAUCUCGGAAGCAUAAUGAAAAUGAAAUUCUGCGGAGAAAACUGCUCCUGAUGGAUAAUGAACUGAAGAUUGCGCGGAUUCCACGACAAACUGAGAAAUACAUGGACAGCUGUGCUUCAGACUGGAGACCCAGUCAACGAGGAGAUGAGGAUGUGUUUGGGUCAGCUUUGGGAGAAGUCAAGUUUGCAGAGAUAGAAACCCCUUUCAUUAAGGUAGAGAGACAGGAUGAUGGAUCAUGGAGACGGGAGCAACACAGAGAACCAAAUGGACAUGGUAACUGAAUUCAUUGGGCCAUUGGACAUGGAAACACCACAUACGGCAAUAAUGCCAUUCAGAAGCUUCCCAUUGGGAAUCAUCAGGACUUGGAAGAAGAAGAGAAUCAGGACCCACUAAUCCUCCUGGAGGAGCAGCUGGCAGAAGGUCAAGAGAAGCUUAGUGAGCUGUGCCAGUCUCAGUCUGGGCACUGUGGCGAGGAGGAGACCAGUGUUCUAGAGUUUGUAAUAAAGACUGAGAAGGAGGAAGAACAUUCUGGAUUCAGUCAGGCUGGAUGUCAGAGGAGCACAGUAAAGCAGCAGAACCCCUUGAGCUCUGAGUUUGUAAUGGAUGAAAGAGACAGUCAACUGUGGUCGUCUAUAGUUCAAGGGAACGAUGACAUAGUCAUAGAGACUGACUUUCCUGAUUUCUCUUAUGUAGCCGAGCAGUAUUCAGAGAGUUUUCCAGAUCGCUCCGUGGCUCAGCCCCAGCCACAGCCCCUCUCUAGCCCAGUGGAAGGCCCUAGUAAAUCAGCCAGCUCACCUUUACAGAGACCGUGCAAUGGAUCAAUGUACAACAAAGUCUUUCAGAAAGAGAAAGUAAGUGCAUCUCAGUCUGUGUCUAGUUCUUUUCAGUGCCGACCGCAGAUCAACCAUUCACAGCAGCAGACCAGGCAGAGAGAUCAGGUGUUCUCCCAGAGGGAUAAUCCCAUCCCACCGUCCAGGCCUCAAGACACUGGACACACAGCAGAGCGAAGCUUUGGACUGGGUGACACUGGCAGACCAACUGCCUCCCAUUUAGGGAUUCGAUUGAACAAUAACACUUUUACACCAGGUGGCCUCAGAAGCUUCACUAUGCCUCAUUAUAAUUCAAAGAAUCACUGGGGUACAGCCAUAACAGAGAAGGUUUUCAGUUGCUCGCAGUGCGGCAAGAGUUUUAGUCGCCUGUCCUAUCUCAAGAUACAUCAGCGAAGUCACACGGGAGAGAGGCCGUUUCGGUGCACCGUCUGCGGGAAGAGUUUUCACUGCUCCUCGCACCUGACUAUACACCACCGCAUUCACACGGGAGAAAGACCCUAUAGCUGUGCCACGUGUGGGAAGAGGUUUACCCAGCAGAGCAGUCUCAAGACACACCAGAGUGUCCACAGUGGAGAGAGACCGUAUGGUUGCUCUCAGUGUGGCAAGACUUUCACUCUUCUGCACCAUCUGAAAAGGCACAGGAUUAUUCAUGCUGGGUAUAGCUGAGUGGGUCUUAUUAUUAUUAUUAAACCUCUAUCCAGGAAGUCCGUAAAUAUGGUCCUCAAAGCUGAGUUUAUUUGUUUUACUUUAAAAAUUAAAAUAGUUCAAUAAAAAUUUGAACUUUGAUGUUUUAUGCUAAUUUCAACACUACAGAAACAUUUCAUGAAAUAAAAUACACAGUGAAUAGUUUUGCAUCAGGCCUUUUAAUAAACUGUAUGAAAAUCGGUACGCUCCAUAA